rnacentral:rRNA from 1 species
AACGAACGCUGGCGGCAGGCUUAACACAUGCAAGUCGAACGCUCCGCAAGGAGAGUGGCAGACGGGUGAGUAACACGUGGAACGUACCCUUUACUACGGAACAACUCCGGGAAACUGGAGCUAAUACCGUAUGUGCCCUUUGGGGGAAAGAUUUAUCGGUAAAGGAUCGGCCCGCGUUGGAUUAGCUAGUUGGUGGGGUAAAGGCCUACCAAGGCGACGAUCCAUAGCUGGUCUGAGAGGAUGAUCAGCCACAUUGGGACUGAGACACGGCCCAAACUCCUACGGGAGGCAGCAGUGGGGAAUAUUGGACAAUGGGCGCAAGCCUGAUCCAGCCAUGCCGCGUGUGUGAUGAAGGCCUUAGGGUUGUAAAGCACUUUCACCGGAGAAGAUAAUGACGGUAUCCGGAGAAGAAGCCCCGGCUAACUUCGUGCCAGCCGCCGCCGUAAAAC